GGUCACGUAGCCAAGUUGGUAAGGCAGAGGUCUGCAAAACCUCUAUGCGCGGGUUCGAGUCCCGCCGUGACCU
rnacentral:tRNA from 1 species